rnacentral:rRNA from 1 species
AACUAACGCUAGCGGCGCGUCUUAAACAUGCAAGUCGAACGGUAAGGCCCGCAAGGGUACACGAGUGGCAGACGGGUGAGUAACACGUAAGUAAUCUACCUUAGGAUGGGGGACAACUCCGGGAAACUGGAGCUAAUACCGCAUACGUCCAUUUUUUCCGCGGAUUGAAUGGAGAAAAGCCUUCGGGGCGUCCUGAGAUGAGCUUGCGGCCCAUUAGCACUGGAUGGCGGGGUAACGGCCCACCANAGCUACGAUGGGUAGCCGCCUGAGAGGGUGAUCGGCCACACUGGAACUGAUACACGGUCCAGACUCCUACGGGAGGCAGCAGUUAAGAAUCUUGCGC